AAGCAACUUGAUACACACUGAAAUUAUUUUUAAAUUUUUUUAAAUGAUGAAAUUCAGUUUAUUAAUCUGUGUUUUACAGAUUCUUAUUUAAAGUUCAACUGAACAUCAGCAAGUUGAUUAAAAGAUUCUGUCGGCCCUCUUGAGCACAUCCCAAAGGCAGACCUCUGGCCACAAGGUGCAGGGCAAAGGAGACAGCCCUGGUCUCUGCGACUGUUAUGGAAAGGGGUGGUGACUCCAGCUUUCCACUGACCCACUGUGGGGCUACAGUUUGGAGGCGAGACAUAUACGAGAAUCCCUUUGAAAAGGUAAAAAUAAUGAGUAAUUCAAAAGUAAUACCUGUAGUCAAAGAAAAUUAAUCUUCCAUUGCUGAGAACCUAUGUGUUCAGCUGAAGUUUUGUUUCUUAUCCAUCCAGUAUUGAAAAAUUUAUAAUAGCAAAGUUAUAGGAAAUAAACACAAUCUAAUAUUAACACCAUUGGGUUCAAUUCCAUUUUCAUAUAUUUUAUUCUUAGACAAUACAAAUUUCCCCAUAUAACGAGCUUUCAUGGUAAUUUAUUACUUGGCUGUCUCAAGCCUGGAGCUAAAAAGUAUUUAAAAAACAAAAUAAAAGUGCUAUUUAGCAUGAAAAUGUUUGAGAAUAUAUAGCUAAAAAAGAAAUAUGGCAAAAUGGUAAGAAUUUUUGACUACAGAGUAAAUGUGAAGAUAGCUAAGAGGCUUAUUUAACAGUUUUUAGAAUCAACUAGAUAUAAUUUUUCAUUCAACAAAGGUUGUUUAACGAUUAUGCACACGUUGACUAGAAAGGCGCUCUUUUAGGUCCCUUUUUAGAAACAACAUAGUUUAGUCAAAUAUUAGUUCAAUUUUUGAACUAUUUUGUUUAAAUUUUUUUAGCUGGUUUUUUUUCUCUUUGUAUUAAACUAUUUUCUUUUUAGGAACUCUAAAGAUAUGACAUUGGGCAAGCCACUUAGUUUCAAUAUCCUCAUCUGAGAGAAAAGGGGGUUGAACCCUUAGUUAUUGCUCAAAUUCCAUCCAAUCUAAAUUGAUGUGCUCUGAAAUGUUUGAUUCCCACAUAUUAAUUAAAAAAAAGUGGUAAAAACAGUGUUUUCUUAUGCAUAUAAUCUUUGUGAGACAUAUUUAAUUGUGCCAACAAAAAAGGAACAUUUAUUUUCAGACUAUAUUAAAUAAUUAGACUAUGCUGCAAAAAUCUCAUAUUCCAUUAGAAAGAAAUGUCAAAUUAAUGUACACUCCCACAAAUUAAUUUUUACAAAAAGUUAAAUCACUAGCAAUAACAAGCAACAAUAUUUCAAAAAUGAUUUUUAGGUUUUUCAUUUCAAUCCCAGUUAUCUAAAUUGUAAAACCGGUCAGUGCGAGGAAAGCCCUACCAAAACCUAUGAAUGGAGAAGGGAGAAAGGUGUGGUUCAAAGUUUCUCAAUUAUGGCACUGUUGACAUUUUGGGCCAGAUAAUUCUUUAUUGUAGGGAGCUCUCUGUGCACCAUAGGAUGUUUGGCAGCGCCCCUCUGCUCUAUCCACAAGACACCAGUACCACUGCCUCCCACUCUGAAGCUGUGACAACCAAAACCGGCUCCAGAUUUUGCCAAAUGUCUCCUAAGGGAAGAGGAGUGGAGGAAUCAGCCCUGGUUGAGAGCCACUGGGUUAGGUAGAACCGCUUUAUUGUAGUGGUUUGGAUCAGUGAUACUCAAGAGAUUGGGAUAGGGCUUUUCUAACCAUACAUAGCUCCAGAGAUUUUAGUAAGCAGGUCACACCCCCUCAAUUAUUUGUAAUUACUUAUACUUCCAUUGCCCCCUUUCAUCUCUGUCCAGUGCAAUGCAGUACACCAAAAAUUAGUAGAGCAAUUUUUCAAAGCCUAAAAUAUUCUCGGUUAACCAGAUGAAAUCUGUGAGAGCCUUUUCCUUAAUGAAAGCCCCUCCAAGCCAAUUUCUGAACUCAUGUAUUUCCUCUUGAGUUGUGCAUAAGCACAACUGUUUUAUUGAGAACUGUAGCGCCAGAACUUCAUUGUCUUUCUUUACCUGUUCUGGGAGAAAAACUGACAAAAGUUGUGAUAAUCCCUGUCCUUCUCGCUAUUAUGAGAGAGGGGCAAGCAAGGCCAUGGCACAGAGCAAUUAAAAACACACUCCCCUCUUCCCUUUCUGUAAAUGCCAUCCACACACUGCAAACAUGCAGAGUCUCAUUCUUUUAUAAGCAACAAUCCUUCAACUAUGAUUAUAACUGUCUCAGUCACUCUGGGUGGUGAGGUGGCCAUAAGUCUGAAAAAGUGAAGCUCUUUGGUGAAGACCAGAUGCAUGGAAACAUGCUUCUCCCACCUGCCAAAAUAACUCCAUGCCUCUGGCCCAAACCUUAAUCAAACCCUUGGCUUUCCGCAGCAUGUUACACAUCAUAAAAUGCUUUCACAAACAUUACCUUAAAUGAUCCUACACCUUGUAAGUGGGAUGGGGAGGUGUUUUUAUUCUCAUUUUACAGAUGAGGAAACUCUGGCCCAGAGAGGUUAUGAGACUAGUUUCAGCCAGUUAUUUACUGGGGGAGCCAAGAUUUGAAUGCAGCUUGCUGACCUCAAAGCCAGUGCUUUUUCCACGUAAUUUUCACAAAAGUAGUGCUCAGCAGAACGACAGCUUUAAAGCCAUGAUGGUAGUCUUUAGAUUCCAUGCAUUUAGGACUCUCUGCAAGGCCUGGACCUUAAAAAAACAAAUUCUACUCUGCUGUAUUCAUGCAGGUCUGACAAAUAGCAGUAAAGCAGUCAUCCUUCUUAGCAAGCUACCUACGACUGACAAAGCCAUAUAUUUUUCUAAUGGAAAACGUCUCCACAGAUAAGGAAAUAAAGUCACUUAACUUUCCAGGAUUCAUUAACUAAAGCUGAUGUUGCUGCUGAUGCUGUUGUUAAUGUCCCACAAAAUUAAUCUAACAAUACCUACUUACUCCUUGUUCACAAAUCACACACACUAAAUUUGGAGUGCCCUAGAAUGAUAUCUCUUUUCUUGUUAGUAAAACUGCUGAGAGCCAUUCCCUAGCAAGGCUGGCUAGUACAGGUUUGCUAUUGGAAGAUAAUGGAAGGAGAAACUGCCAUUAAUAAAGCAUGAAUACUUGUCAUUAGCCAGACUGGAACAUUGGAAAAGUGACAUUUUAGCUUAGAAGGAAGGUCUCUGAAGCUAUAUGGGUAGGUCUGAGGGUCUUAAAACUGGCUUCCAUUUGAAGGGGCUCUCCUCCCAGCAGAUUGCUGCAAACCUCCUCCCAGCAGAUUGCUCCCACUGGCCACCUUUCUGAAUGUCGACAUUAGGAAACAAGUUUAAUAUUUACAUUUUGUGAAAGCAUGACCAAGAAAAAGUAAUACUAACCUCAUCUAUAGCUUUUUUAUAGCUCUGAAAUGAGAGGAACCCAAUCCAGAAGAAUCCACAGAAGGAGGAAAAGCCAGCAGAAAGGCAGCAGAUUAGACACAAAAUUGGAAUUGUUAGUACGCAACUGAUAAAUACAAAAGGGCGAAGAGAAUGUCAACCCAGGAUGAUGCAAAUCCCUUCAUUAUUACUCUCAGUAUACGUCCUUACUUUAAGGUGUUAAAAAAGAAUAAACCAAAAAGCUUCACGUUCAUUUCACAGAAAAGAUUCUCAAGAGAUUUAAAUAGAAAAAGUAGAUAGUAAUUCAACCCAAAUUAAUUUUCAACUUUCAAAUUUCAGCCUCCAUACUCCUCUUUAAGACUACUUGGGGGUUUAUCAUGUUACAGCAGUGAAGCUGAAUAUUAAGUUGUUAGGACACCUGUUGGACACUGCUUAAUAAGUUUGGUCCAGAAAAAUAUUGUCCUGGAGGUAUGAAAAAUAGCAGAAAAACUGUAAUAUUAAUUCAUGUGGAAAAUAAUAUGGGGAAAGGGUAGAAGAGAUUAGAGAAAUUCACAGAAAGUACCCAAGCCUCUUUAACUUCUUUCUUUUUUGCCAAAAUUGCUGAGUAGAAAUUAUGGAAUGAUAGAAGUUAUUUCUCCUCCUGUUGUAUAGUUAAAGGACUGCUAAUGAUCAGCAAAUAGCCAAAGGCAGAGGAGGCAAUCCAAGAUCUCUUCAGUUCUUUCCUAAUCAAGGAUGACUUUCUGCUGGAUGUUUCUAGCAUCUGUUCUUACUAAUCUUGACAAUUUUUGUUCGUAUCAUGAGUGUAUCCCCAACUACUUAAUCCUGUGGGUUCUCUGGUAAAUUAAGAGUUCAAAACUCUUGGAGAGAAAUGCACUCACAGCUGGUCGACUGGGCCGGGUAAUGUCCCUGGAUUCUUCUGGUUUCACCUUGGCAGGCUCAUGGGGGAGUACAGGUGAUCCUUCUGACUUACUGUUGGCUAGAGGGAAAAACAGAGGACCAAGAAAGAGAUGGCCAUCAAAAAGUGCUGGCUCAGGUUCUGAAUGAAUCAUCUGUGAUGUGUCAUCACAUUGAGAUUACUCAGUGGACACGUCAUUCGCUUAGGCAAAUCCUCAAGCACAUCCAUGAAAAAUAUAAUGUUCAGGCAAACACAUUUAGGUUUGUCACCUGGAAAUCACUAGUAACAAUUAAAAAAAAAAACUGUAGCAAGUACCAUCACCACUAGAGCACUUCUUAUGUGUCAGGCAUAGUGCUAAAUGCUUUCUAUGUCAAUUAUCUCAUAUAAUCCUCACUCCAACCCAAUGAUGUGGCACUAUUUUCCUAUUUUACAGAACACAGAUUUACAAAGAUGACAUGACUGUCCUGAGGUCACACUGAAAUUAUACACAGAGCUGGAGUUCUGAUUUCUGAAAGUCCUAUUCUCAGUCACUAUGCUAAAUGAGCCUCUAAGGUUCUAUGCUUGUUUUCUUCUUUUAUCAUCUGUCCAAUCAGGAUAGGUUAUUUUGUUGAAAUUUUGUGUGGAAAAAAAAAAGAAACUUAUUUUAUUUGGUGGGACGGUUUUUAAUUAGGGAUGGGAGUGGUCUCAGCCAUUUAAAAAUAAAAGAAUGAGGUGAGGGCAGGAAGGAGGUUGUUACAGGAGAAGGGCCCUAGACUGGAGGUACAGAGCAAGGCGGACCCCGACAGCUGCAGAGUGAAUAGCCUCUCUGCGGUCUAGGAGCUUACAGAUAGAGAAGAUGUAAUUUAGGGUAAGAGAGGUUGUUUUUAUUUUUUAAAAAGUAGUCUUUCUUGGGCAGGGACAUACUGGGGAUACAAGAGUGCUUUUAAUCCAGAAGAAUAAAGGGCUGAAGGAAAUAAAAAGUAAGCCUGAACUAGAUCACAGAAUUAAAAUGGUAUGUGUUUAAGUUUGGUUUACUUAAACAUUUGCUCUAAGAAUAUGAAGUUGUCUAUAAAUAGAAAAAAGGUAAGAGAAUGGCUGUUUUCUUUCUUUCCUUUAUGUUUUCUAGAGAUAGGGCUCUGUCAC